rnacentral:rRNA from 1 species
GAUGAACGCUGGCGGCGUGCCUAAUACAUGCAAGUCGAGCGAACAGAUAAGGAGCUUGCUCCUUUGACGUUAGCGGCGGACGGGUGAGUAACACGUGGAUAACCUACCUAUAAGACUGGGAUAACUUCGGGAAACCGGAGCUAAUACCGGAUAACAUAUUGAACCGCAUGGUUCAAUAGUGAAAGGCGGCUUUGCUGUCACUUAUAGAUGGAUCCGCGCCGUAUUAGCUAGUUGGUAAGGUAACGGCUUACCAAGGCAACGAUACGUAGCCGACCUGAGAGGGUGAUCGGCCACACUGGAACUGAGACACGGUCCAGACUGCUACGGGAGGCAGCAGUAGGGAAUCUUCCGCAAUGGGCGAAAGCCUGACGGAGCAACGCCGCGUGAGUGAUGAAGGUCUUCGGAUCGUAAAACUCUGUUAUCAGGGAAGAACAAAUGUGUAAGUAACUGUGCACAUCUUGACGGUACCUGAUCAGAAAGCCACGGCUAACUACGUG